CGUGUAGGCGGUCAGGUAAGUGGAAUGUGAAAUGCCCCGGCUCACCCGGGGACCGGGCAUCCCAAACUGCCUGGCUUGAGUAUGGGAGAGGAUGGAGGAAUUCCUGGUGUAGCGGGUGAAAUGCGUAGAUAUCAGGAGGAACACCGGUGGCGAAGGCGUCCAUCUGGCCCAAUACUGACGCUGAGGCGCGAAAGCUAGGGGAGCAAACGG
rnacentral:rRNA from 1 species